rnacentral:rRNA from 1 species
UACGUAGGGUGCAAGCGUUAAUCGGAAUUACUGGGCGUAAAGCGUGCGCAGGCGGUUUUGUAAGACAGAGGUGAAAUCCCCGGGCUCAACCUGGGAACUGCCUUUGUGACUGCAAGGCUUGAGUGCGGCAGAGGGGGAUGGAAUUCCGCGUGUAGCAGUGAAAUGCGUAGAUAUGCGGAGGAACACCGGUGGCGAAGGCGGAUCUCUGGGCCUUACCUGACGCUGAGGCGCGAAAGCUAGGGGAGCAAACGGG